UCUAUCUUUAUUGAGGGAAAAUUGAUAAUUUAAAACUGUAUAUAUUUAAGGUAUACAACUUGAUGUUUUUAUAUUUGUAUGCAUUGUGAAAUAAUCACCACAAUCAAGUUAAUUAACACAUACACCACCUCACACAGUUACCAUUUUCUUUUUGUGUGUGUUAGCCACCUUUAGAGCAAAUUUCAAAUAUAUAAUACUGUUAACUAUAGUCACAUUGCUGUUUAUUACAUCUCCAGAACUUAUUCAUCUUUCAUAACUGAAAUUUUGUAGCCUUUUACCAACAUCCCCCCAUUUUGCCCCACCCUGCUAUCCCCAGCCCUUGGAAACCACCAUUCUACUCUAUCCUGCUAUGAGUUUUUCCCUUUUAGGUCCCUCUUAUAAGUGAGAACAUGCAGUAUUUGUUUUUUUCUGUGUCUGGCUUAUUUCAAUUAGCAUAAUGUCCUCCAGGUUCAUCCAUGUUGUUGGAAAUGGCAUAAUUUCCUUCUUUUUAAAGGCAGAAUGAUAUUUCAUUGUGUGUCUGUGUGUGUGUGUGUGUAAUGGGGAGACAGGGACACUAUGAUGCACUUAGGCAGUGGCAUGGGGUGAAAUGUAGAGUUAGGGUGGAGGGAUACUGGGUGCCAGGACAGAGAGGGGCUUUGGCAACCAACUGCAAUGCACGGGGCAGUAAUUGCCUGGAAGGACUCUAGGGAUACACUGAAAACUGCCAUGUGUAUAUACACACACACAUAUACAUAUAUGUAUUUCAUAUAUUCAUUUAUUCAUUGACAGUUAUUUGGGUAGUUUCCAUAUCAUGGCUACUGUGACUACACUGAAAUAAACAUAAGGACACAGAUUUCUCUUCAUGAGACUGAUUUUAUUUUCUUUGGUUGUAUACCUAGAAGUGGUAUUUCUGGAUCAAAUGGUAGUCCCACUUUUAAUUUUGUGAAGAGUCUCUAUACUGCUUUCUAUACUAGCUGUACCAAUUUGCAUUCCCACCAGUAAUUUACAGGAUUCUCUUUUCUCCAUAUCCUUGUCAGCCCUUGUUAUCAUUUAUCUUAGUGAUAAUAGCCUCUGUAAGAGGGGAUAUCUGAUUCUGGUUUUGAUCUGCAUUUACCUGAUCACUUUUUCAUAGACCUGUUGAUCAUUGCUAUUAUCUUUGAAAAAUGCGUAGUCAGGUUUUUUGCCCAUUUCUAAAUCAGGUUUUGG
rnacentral:lncRNA from 10 species